AUGUAUGAUGACUUAAUGGAAUCUCCUUCGGCUGAUGGCUUGCUGCUGAGACUUGGACAUCUGACCUUC